rnacentral:tRNA from 1 species
GGACAGAUGGGUGAGUGGCUGAAACCACUUCCCUGCUAAGGAAGCAUACCCAUUCCGGGUAUCGAGGGUUCGAAUCCCUCUCUGUCCGCCA